rnacentral:rRNA from 1 species
GACGAACGCUGGCGGCGUGCCUAAUACAUGCAAGUAGAACGCUGAAGGAGGAGCUUGCUUCUCUGGAUGAGUUGCGAACGGGUGAGUAACGCGUAGGUAACCUGCCUGGUAGCGGGGGAUAACUAUUGGAAACGAUAGCUAAUACCGCAUAAGAGUAGAUGUUGCAUGACAUUUGCUUAAAAGGUGCAAUUGCAUCACUACCAGAUGGACCUGCGUUGUAUUAGCUAGUUGGUGAGGUAACGGCUCACCAAGGCGACGAUACAUAGCCGACCUGAGAGGGUGAUCGGCCACACUGGGACUGAGACACGGCCCAGACUCCUACGGGAGGCAGCAGUAGGGAAUCUUCGGCAAUGGACGGAAGUCUGACCGAGCAACGCCGCGUGAGUGAAGAAGGUUUUCGGAUCGUAAAGCUCUGCUGUAAGAGAAGAACGAGUGUGAGAGUGGAAAGUUCACACUGUGACGGUAUCUUACCAGAAAGGGACGGCUAACUACGUG